AACAGGGAUUGCCCUAGUAACGGCGAGUGAAGCGGCAACAGCUCAAAUUUGAAACCUGGCGCUUGCGUCCGGAUUGUAAUUUGUAGAGGAUGCUUCUGGGCAGCGGCCGUUCUAAGUUCCUUGGAACAGGACGUCAUAGAGGGUGAGAAUCCCGUAUGUGACCGGCGCGCACCCUCCACGUAGCUCCUUCGACGAGUCGAGUUGUUUGGGAAUGCAGCUCUAAAUGGGAGGUAAAUUUCUUCUAAAGCUAAAUAUUGGCCAGAGACCGAUAGCGCACAAGUAGAGUGAUCGAAAGAUGAAAAGCACUUUGGAAAGAGAGUUAAAAAGCACGUGAAAUUGUUGAAAGGGAAGCGCUUCCAACCAGACUCCGCGGCGGUGUUCCGCCGGUCUUCUGACCGGUCCACUCGCCGCCGUGGGGCCAACAUCGUCUGGGGCCGCCGGAUAAGACCGGAGGAAUGUAGCUCAUUGAGUGUUAUAGCCUCCGGUGAUGCGGCGCGUCCCGGGCGAGGUCCGCGCUUCGGCAAGGAUGUUGGCGUAAUGGUUGGCAGCGGCCCGUCUUGAAACACKGACCAAGGAGUCUAACAUCUAUGCGAGUGUUCGGGUGUCAAACCCCUACGCGHAAUGAAAGUGAACGGAGGUGGGAGCUUSGGCGCACCAUCGACCGAUCCUGAUGUCCUCGGAUGGAUUUGAGUAAGAGCAUAGCUGUUGGGACCCGAAAGAUGGUGAACUAUGCCUGAAUAGGGUGAAGCCAGAGGAAACUCUGGUGGAGGCUCGCAGCGGUUCUGACGUGCAAAUCGAUCGUCAAAUUUGGGUAUAGGGGCGAAAGACUAAUCGAACCAUCUAGUAGCUGGUUCCUGCCAU
rnacentral:rRNA from 1 species